GCAUCAUCCGCUUGUCUACCAGGUAUAUAACGUUCCCAUACGAUGCAGGUGACCAGCCAAACAUCAAAGCGCAAUUUGCAGCGAUAGCCGGUUUUCCUAAUGUAAUCGGAGCGAUCGACUGCACACAUAUUGCUAUAAAGGCGCCAUCUGAAGACGAAUUUGCAUAUGUGAAUCGGAAACAUUUCCAUUCAAUAAAUGUGCAGAUUAUAUGUGAUGCACAAAUGCGCCUAACAAAUAUUGUGGCAAGGUGGCCUGGGUCAACCCAUGAUUCAUAUAUCCUUACAAACAGCAUGGUUGGGAUGAGACUCCAAGCUGGCAGGGUGCGCGAUGGGUGGCUACUUGGUAAGUUAUGCAUUUAAAUGUAUGGUUCUAUCUAAAAGUAAAAUGUUUGUGUCUGUAAUUAUUAUUACUGCCCAUCAGGAGACAGUGGUUAUCCACUAAAGACGUGGCUGUUAACCCCCCUCACCAACCCACAAACUGACCGAGAGCGCAGAUACAAUGAUGCCCAUUCCCGCACUCGGUCAGUUGUGGAGCGGGUGAUUGGGCAGCUGAAAUGUCGGUGGCGCUGCCUUGACAGGACCGGGGGGAUGCUGUUAUACCGCCCUGACAAGGUUUGCCGCAUCAUACUGGCCUGUGGAGUGCUGCACAAUGUCGCGCACAGGCAUGGCAUACCCCUUGGUGAGGUGGGGGCACCGCCAGAUGACCCUGACCCAGGACCAGUAUAUGUGCAGCACAAUCAACAAGCCAUUCAGGCCCGUCAACGUGUAAUUGCGACAAUAUAAAUGAACAGCAUGCGUCAAGACACGGCCAGAUGGACGGGCUUCAGCACUGGGGGGAACAUUAGAGACACGGGAGACGCUGGACUGAAUGGGCUCUGGCUGCUCAGGUGGUGCGGACUCUGAGUGCGUGCCAGUGGACGUUCCUGCGGUUCCUAAGUCCAAUUAAACACAGGCACAUCUUAACAGUAAUUUGAGUCUGUUCCUUAUUAAUGGGUACACGCAUUUGCAAUAAAAGCAGUGGAUACGUGAAAUCUCUGGUGUACCUUUUGCUAUAUUGCAUGCAUUUUAAAAUUAAACGGUGGCUGGCUAUGUAUAUCAAAGUUAAGGAAAUAAAUCUGAGUCACCUUG